GGGUCAGAGCAACUUUUCUAGGAGCUGAUUGAAUUUGCCUUGUAAUGUAUAUGGUGAACACCCCAUGUACUUGAGGCUAUGCCUAUUAUUAUUUUCAAUAAAAUCUUGUUUGCUGCACAAAAAAGGUAGAUGGUGAACACACUUGCCAAAUAAAAGGGGGAAAAAUAUUUUCUGGGAACUGCACCUGUAUUUCUAUCUUCAAAGAAAGAGAUCAGGACAUCAGGAUUAUUAUUUACGAAUGUGUAUAUUUAGUCAUUGCACAUAGCUUAAACCUUAUUAUAUUGUCAACUUUAGAUUUGUUUUUCAAUUUCCCCGAGACAAGUUAAAACAAAGUAAUGACUAAUGAGGGGUUCUCUUUUGAGAUUUCCGUGCCUUUCCAUAUCUGUUGUUCUCAGCUUGCAGAAUCCCUGUACGAGUACGGGUGUGGAAAUGACAAAAAGGCAUUGGAAUUGCAUGGCCCAGAUGUUGAUGCCAAUAACUGCAAGAUGCUUGGAGCAUCUGAUGAACAACUUGAUGUAUGAAAUCCGGUACAAUAUGUUGCUGAAUACUGGAAAACUGUGAAGGCAAUUGACGUAAUUGAAAAGUGGAUCAAGAAGCGAGAAGGAGUACCUUUUAUGUGGCGCCUCCUGGUAUAACUCUUACCUUGUGUAUGAGCUUCUUGCUUGGUAGUUCACCGUAGUUGUAUGCAAUAGCUUUAAGAAGUUCUUUGACGUGUACAGUCUCAAAAAAAUUAGUAUAAAUUGUUCCUUUUGCUUCGCGAGAGAGGCUAUAACCUUACAGGAAGAAAGGAAGCUGCACUUGCAGGGGAGAAGGCUCAGGCUUUGGAGACUGCAUAUUUCAAGUACCAGUAUGCUUCACAAUCUUUUCUGGUCUCAGCACCUGCAAACUAGUUUAAAGUUGUACCCACACCGAGUUUCUUCGCCCCAUGUAUGAUGAAUUAGUUGUAUAUAAAAAUGCCACGAAUUGAAAGGUACUGAACUUUUUGACAUAACGCAUGCUCCAUGUUUUUUUAUGGAAGAUGUAGAAAAUAUGUAAUUCGGAUAUGAACGAGGAACUGUUUA